AUGGCACCCUGCUAAAGCAGAGGACACAUUGUAGCUUAGCUGUUACGAUGAAAUUAGCCUGUAUUUACCUCACUUUACAACAAAAAAAGUAUUACAUAGUUGUAAUUUAACAGAGGACGCAGGGAGCGUUGCGUAAUUUCUACGACAUUGUUUAACAGAAUUUGUUGAAUAUUACGGCUCCCGUGUCCGUGGAGGAUUUACAACCGUUGAAUCUAACCGUGUACAUUGUUUUAGCUCUGCAAACCUGUGAAUAUGCGCGUGUUUUUACUUCGCUCGUUGUUGCAGUCUUGUAUAACACGACGUUGUAACACACCCACUCUGUGCCGUUUGGUGGGGAAGUCGUCCAUUUCUCUUCCAAAUAUUGCUAAGCAGUAAAAUGGGGGGAAGGGAGGGAAAUGGGGAAUGCAGCUUAAUGAAUGAGACCCCGUGAGUUACAGCAAUUUAUUAACAAUAGAGACUGAUGCAAGGCUGACCAUCAAGGAAGAUUCACAAGAAAACACACACCAGCAGCAUGACUUACAGAUAAGAAAAAUAAACAACAGUUAGUUUAAGCUACUUUUUGCAUCAUUUGCGCCAAAGUUUUAUUUAGGAAUAAUGCUAAAACAAGCAACUUCUUUUUUUUCAGUGUCCAUGCUAAUGUUUUCUGUGUGACUCUGCAAACUUGGGAAUGUAACAACCAAAAAGAUCAGCAAAGCCUGUCUCACAAAAGUUAAAGGCAGCCUGGAGUUUCGGGUUGAUUUGAGUCGUAUGACGCAUCUGAACGUGCUUUUUGAAAGAACAAAAAGGACCUAGCUUUCAACGGACUUUGGGCCAGUCUCACACACGGUCGGAGAAAAUCAUCCCCACAGUAGCACGCUGCCACCACCGUGGGUCAGAGGGACAGUCGUUUUUCCAAGGUGAUGUGAAACGGAGUGCCAGUUUCUGUUUCAUGUUCGGCCUCGUCUACCCAGAGCAUUUUCUUCCACCCGUUUUUUCUUCUCGCACGUCUCGUGGCAAACGACCAACACAACUUUUCAUGACUUUCGUCUUGUCGUUUCUUCAUAAAGGCCACAUUAGUGGCGUGGAUGACUAAUUCUUCUCAGGCGACCUUGGUGCGCACACAAAAACGGCUAACGCUUAGUGCACACGCAGCAAAGUCAAUCUUCCUCAACUGUGUCUUAUUGCGAACAACACUUGAACUUAACUGCAUCCUUGAAAUGUAUGAUAUUUUGAUACAAAAAGAUAAUUGCAGUUAUAUUCAUGUGUUUACGUAGAGCAAAACCAGCCAGGAGUUAAUGUUCUCCCAACCUGAAAACACAGCAAAAACGAAUAAUCUUUUUAUGUUUUUUAAGAUAAUAAAGUAAGCAAACCAGAAAAAACGUGUUGCUCUUUUUGCCCGUUUGUUGCAACCAUUUAAAUUGGAAUAUUUGUUUCUUUUUCAUAUUGUAAUAGUUUUAUAAAAGAAAUUAAUAAAAACAAAAAAUUUCAUUUAACAGACUAGAUUUCCCACAAGGAAUAGCUUUUUAGUGUUCAGUGUUCAACCCCUUUUAUGAUUGGAUAAUAUCUCCCGACAUAGCAAUUUUAUAUUUACUAAACCAAGGCUUUAUUCAGACAUUAUUUGGAAAACAAAAAACCCUUACAGGUUUGUUUUGUCCUGUUUUUACACCUACAUGUUUUAGCUCAUUCACCUAAUUUUAAAAACAGACAGAGAUUACCUAAAUAAAUGCAAAAUGCAGAUUUCAAAUAAUUUGCUCUUUUACGGCAGGGUAAAGCAAUCCAAACCAACAGCUAAAAAUAUAAUUAUUUUUUAUUUUUUUACUUUUUAAAAUUUUAUUUCACCCAAAUCUAAUUAGUGUAGCACUUGAAGAAUCAAGAAAUUACCCCAAAAAAAGAAACAACAAAAAAAACACCGUGUUUGACAUCAUGAAGUGGGUUAAAAUAUGGCAAAAACAAAAAACAUCAUAUUACGAUUGAAAGUAAACCAAGAACAGAACAAAUUAUUGUUAUCCAAAACUCCUGAUGUCAGUCCUCACCAGCACAGAUGAGCACAAAAUGACCCCUGGCAGAUUUAAAGAUGUUUUCUUUUAACCAAAGUAUUUGCGCGUCGUAGCAAACGAGACGGGCAUCGCUCCAAAUAAAAUAAAAUAAAAACAAGCGGAGUCCGUUAAAUAAUAAUAAUAAAGAAAAUCCAUCUUUUAAAACAUAAAGAAAUACCUGUCAUAUCCUUUCCAGGAUAACUGAAAAGUUUCUGCAUUUUUUCCACCUGUAUUUGGAUAAUUGAACUUUGGUGAGGAGCUCCAAGUCUCUGAGGUUGGAAUGCCUACUUCUCAUCACCCUAAUCUUUAUUUCUCUACACAGAUUGUCUAUCAAGGCAGAGCUCUGUCAUAUGGCUUCAAAUCAGAAGAAACAUGCCGUUGAAAGCAUUGUAAACGUGCAUUUUCCAGCGUUAGGAUUAGAAAUAAAUAACCAUUUUAUCAACUUUGAAAAAUUUAGCAAUUUUGUCUGUAUUAUGGCUUGCUCUGUUGUCUUUUUUGUUUGUUUGUUUCUUUUUUGGGAGGGUGGGGGUCAUUGGGCUGCAAAUGAUGUGCAUUUUAAAAUCAAAAUUAUUGUUUCUUUUCUCUCCAUAAACAUAGAGCGUUCCAUUCAGGAAAAUUACUUCAGUCUCUCAUCUAAAAUGGAUUUAAGCACAAUUUGCAAGCUAUGUGACCACACGGCAAAGCAAUUUUGCACAGUUUAGUAGAUAUAUAUAUAUAUAUAGAACAAAAAAAAGUUAUCUCAUUGAGAGUUUUCCAAUCUAGAUACGUUUUAUUUAAUAAGAGAGAGCUAAAAUUAGAAAAAAACAAAAAGAAAGAAGAGAAUACCAGUUAGGUUGCUGACCUAUGGAGUGACACGGCCACAAGGAGGCGACCUCACCCUGAUCCACCCAGCAUGUCACAGCCAAAACAGUGGAAUCAGAGGUUAUAAUUUAUUUUACAAACAGGCAGACAUUAUGGGAGCAAAUAGAAACUGAAUGCACUGUUGUUAGCUUAUAUCCAAAGACCUUGUUGAGACACUAGAACUGCUGUAUUUGUUUCUAAUGUGCGCUGUUUUAGCAAUUCUGUAGUUUUCACAGUUUUUACUACAGCUUACUAAAAUGAACAAAAUGCUGCAAGGGGCUUAAAUCCCACCAGUUCGUCCCUUUGUGAUGAGGAUUCAUGAGCACAACACAAAUAAAAAUGUUUGGAUUCUGUCUUCUUGUAGAUGCUACCAUGGAAAACCUCAAAUUUGGUCGAUCAGCACAGGUGUUUGAUGUAGAUGGAGACUUAUUAUUUUUAAUUGGGACAAAAUGAUCACAAAGCAAAAUCUUCUUACAGUAGAAAACAUCGGCUUCAACACAAAGUACUCGUCUUUGAGUAACCACACUUUUUGCGCCCUCCUUUACCCAAAAUCAAACUUUGCUGCACCAAAAAUCAGAUUUUAAUGAAUAUAACAAACUUGGUUAAAGUUUCAAUUAGGCAAAGCUUUCAAGUUGUGGACGUCCAUUUCUAGCAACAACUCUGACUACUUUCUUUAACUAAAGUGUUGCAUGGCUAGUUGGUAACAGAAAAUGUUCUUUGGACUUUCAACUCCUUCUGACUUGACGAUUUUGGCCCAAGCGAGGAAACGUUCGGACACUCCUGGUUUAUGGUUUUGAACGACAGGUCAAAUGAGGAGGCCGAACGGUUUCACUGGUCCCACCACUCUAACAAAUGCUGACCUUUCACUUCCUGACACAGCAGUUGUAUUUAACUCUGCCACGUGCCCCUGGCGACCUCCCACACACACACACGCACACACACACACAAAAAGGUGUAAAGAUGGACACACACACGCAGCGCUUUAAAAAGUACUUCUAAACCUGGACACAUUGAAGCGGCGCUCGGGAAUGCUAACCGUUUGUCAAAACAAAGCCAAAAAUAAGAAGUUGCAGUUUGCAAGGGGAAAGGUUGUUCUAUUUAGGUGACACCAAAAAAAUGGAACUUUUUGGGGGGCAAAAUGUAAAAAAGCCACAUUGGAAAACUGCAGCACAUUUCCCUAAACCAUCUGGUCUGCAACCGGUCCAACCCUAAGAGCCACUUCUGCUCAACAAAACUUAAGAGUCACAAAAGCAACAUGACUCUUCAGACAAUAGGAAAUGUGUUUGUAUUUUUAAAUUACAGAAAAAAAAAUUGAUUUUUGUUUCAGAGUUCAUACCUUUCUUUUAAAUUUUAUCGAAAAAGUACAUAGUUUGCAACAGACUGACAAAAGAAUAUAUAUUUUUUACACCGUUAGUGUCGUUCUCUGUGGAAAUGUAAUGCAUAGAUUGGUUGCCGACGCCUAGGCCUGCCACAAACAUCACAAUAGCGAAACAUGGCGGUGGCAGCAUCAUGCCGUGGGGAGGGUUUAUUCAGCUUAAAUGGAGAAGCUAGUUGUGUUGAAGAAGGCUUGAGAAGAAAGCUCACCUUCUUUUAGGAAGAGCUACGAUGUAAUAGUUUAGGUCAGGGGUGUCCAAAGGUUUAGUCAUGUGGGUCAAAAGUUGAAAUGACUCCAAGAACUCCAAAAAAUAAAAAUAUAACAUUAGCAAAUCAAGUAUUUAAACUUUUUUGUAUAAAACGAAUGUUUUUCAUUACAUUGAAAGGGAGUUUUUCAUUUCUCUUGGGCUCAAUUGAAACAUUAUUAAAUCAUUCCAAACUACUUGCUAUAUUUAGCCAAGUUUAGUAAAUUCAGUAAAAGCAGAUUUGGGUGCAUCAAAGUCAACAUUUGAGUAAAAGUGUCGGUUAUAAAAGGCUUAGUUAUAAAAACAAGAAUAAUUUGCGUCCUACUUAACAUUUUCCACUGGUGUCAGCAAUAAUUUUACCCUGAUUACAAAGAAAAAUCUGUCCAAGGGCCACAGAUACCCACCAGGAUGUCCAUAACCUAACACUCCAAGUACAUUGGUGUGUUAGGACGGACCAGUCAAAGUCCACACAUAAAUAAACUGUGAACACAUUGACCUUGUGCGUGCCAUGUGUCCUCAGAUUUUUUGGGGUUAUAAAAACUUUAGAAACCACAGAAUUUCUUCAACACCACAAUCACGCUUUGUUUCCUUUCGUCACGUAAAACCCCAAAUAUAACCACGUUGAACUUUGACCCAGAAACCCCACAUUUGUUCUAUUUACGCUAAAAAAAAAAGGAAGAAAGAAAGACGGUGGGGGCAAGUAUGUGUGAUGGACUUUUUCUUUUAUUUCAAAAUAUUCUCUCCAAACAGGAUGAAACUCCGCCGAAGCCCAGAGGGUCCGACGCCAACGGAGCCGCCCAGAACAGGAGCACCACUCGUUUAUUGCUAUGUCACUCUCUGCUUCAGGACAAGAUGUUCAAAAAAAAUAAAAAAAAAAGGAAAGAAAGAAAAAAUACUCACAAACACUUGCACUCCAACACACACAUACAAAAGGAGCUAUGUGGAACGGCAUCAGGGAUUCUAAAAACUAGGAAUUGUAUUUUGUAUGUUUUUGUUUUCUUACACUGCAGAUGUUUCUUAUGUUGUCUGAUCACCCACUGCUCUGCAUUUUUAACCUUCCACCUUACCCCAAAGAGUCUGGGGGGCGGCGAGGGAGAGGGGUAGAGAUCAGGGCAUCUCCUCAUGACAGGCCGAUUAUGGUGACCUUCUUCGCAGAGGAAUAACUACAAAUAAAAGGCCAAGCUGGUUUAGAGAUCAUAACAGUCACAUUUAUGCCCCCGAAUCCCGUUUAAAAAAAAAAAAUUUUUUCAGGCA